rnacentral:lncRNA from 1 species
CCACAGGUCCGAUUCUGUUCAAGGCCCCAGAAUUCCAGGAGAGGGAAUUUCAGGAAUCUGUGGUGCCAAGGGUUGUGUGAAUUACCCCAAAUCACAGAACAGAUCACAGUGACAUGGGACAAAAUCCUUCAGACUGCCAGGGUGAAGCUUUACCUCCUGCAGCCUCCUCUGGGAUUUAAACUUUUAUUGUUGAUUUUCCUAAUGGAUGUGAUGAGAGGAAACAUCUGAUGGCCAGGCCUCACUAAGUGAUGUGGGAGUGUCCAGUUCAAGCUGGAGAGGAGAGUGGCAAGGAAAUGCCUGCAUUACAGACUUAAACACAAAAAUAUGAUGCUUUUCCCUUUUUUAUUCCCCUUGUUUCCUAAGGCAAGCUGGUGAAAUGCUGAGAUGUUGAACUGCCUUUGUUGUAACACAGGGUUUGGUCCCAGAGCUGAGGAUGGCUUUGAGCUCCCACAUCUCAAAACACCCCGAAUUCCUGUGGAUGAAGGCUUACAACACCCCGUGCAGCCUGGGCACCUGCAGGGCUGGGCAGCGGGCACAGAACAGUUAAGUGACUUGCACAAGGGUGAAUCAGCAGGACUUGAGGAACUCAACCUGAAGCCCUUUACGUCCUUGAUUGCUGUUAUUCAACCCUGA